GAACAACAUACCGGGUGCUUGGCUGCAGCACUGGGUGUCCUGUCCACACCUGCCAAGGGAUCUUUACUCGCAGGAGCUGAGGAUGUUUGGUUUAAGUUGGUGCAUCAUCAGCUCCCAAGGUCUAAUGGCUCCAAGCACGUAGCUGAGGUUUUACCAGGGUGUCGGAUGUGAUGUACAGGACAUCACAACAAUGUCCAACGAUUUCCCACCUUGCUCUGGAUUAAACCACUCGGGCAAUUAGCAAAGGUGCGUGCAAAAGAAUAGUUGUGGUUAUUGUUUGAAAACACGCUGGGUGACGACAAUCUGUGGGUCCUUCUCCAAUUAACCGCAGCAGCUGGCCGAGGCGGGUCCUGAUGCCAUCGGGUGGCUGUGGCAGGGGAGCAGCCACCUUCUGGCUGCUAAAACCGUGUGAGCAUGCCAGAAGUGGGAAAUUGCACAUCCCAGCUGGCCAGAUGUGCCACAUCUGCCCUCUGCUCGGCUGCAGGGGCAGAUCUGCAGAGCUGGAAAUACGGGGCUGUGUCUGUGUCCGUGUCAGCCCUGAGGAAACAGCUCAGGUAGCCUGAGUUUCUUCAAAGCCAUCCCUGCUCCCCGGUUGCAUUUGGCUGCCUAAGUCGAUAAAGCGGGAUAAGUGUCAGUGCAAGAAAAUCUGCCCUUUCCCUGCUGACUCUGUUGUCAGUUGCCACAUAAGACACAAAAAACCCGCAUUAAAAUAAAUUAUAAAUGUCUGGGUUUAUAACAAAUUCAUAUUUUGCAAGUUUGAAAACUUCAGUUUCUUGUGGAAUGUGUUUUCUUCCUGGAACUUUACUCUUCUGCCUUUAUUCAUCAAGAAAUGUUUUAGUCUUAAUUUAACAUUAUUCUCUUGCUGUUUUCUGGAUGAGAAACACAUUGCUCUCUCCCCGGCUCGCAUCUGCCCCGAAAACAAAAAGACGAUAUUCUGCACCUGUCUGUGCUUCACAACCAGCUGAAAUGAAACCCGAUUCAACCGUCGCUAAACAAAGUGCAAGCAAUGACUCAGUAUGGAAAUAAGACUUGUUUCUUUUUAACUCCAUUAUGUGACAGCACAAGAGAGCGGACACGCUUUCUUCUACGGCGAGAUAUAUAUAUGAUGCGCCUAUUUCAAAAUCUUCUUCCAAUGCUUUUUCAACAACUCUGAGACAAAAGGAAAGAAUACUGUCUUUCCCUCCUGCGCAUGAUACUGAUGCACAUCUGCUCUAUUUGCUAUUUACAUUUUUUAAACUUUAACGAGGCAUGGCCAAAAGACAAGAAAACAGAAAACAAAAAGAAAGAGAAGGAAAGUCUCAAGUCGCAGGCUGUGGUCAACCUGCACUUGAAUUUUCCCGUUAUCCACCAAACUUCUAAUAGAAACUUGUCUCUUAGAGCCUUCCCCAGGGACUGUGAAGUCUCCAUCCUUGUAGGUUUUCAAGACUUGGCUUAGCAAAGCCCCAGCUGACCUAAGCUGGCCUGGCAAUAUCUGUGCACCCAUUAGGUCAGCGGCCUGGAUGAGCCCCACAAGUCCUUUCCAAUCAACGUUUUCAUGAUUUGGAAUUCCUGCUGCUGCCAUUGUUGAUAAGGUUGAAUCAAACCCAUCACUAAGUGUGCAGGGUAUAAAUACCGCGGUCAUCGUUCGCUGCUGAUGGUUCUAAUCUACCCAAUCCCAUCUGCGUUGCAGAUGUGGUGCUGCUGAAGUGGCCCUGCCACUUAACUCUAAUUGCAGGUUGGAGCUUUAGGCUUUAGAAAGCCAAGGUUAAUUUACUUACAAUGACCAGAUGAUGGUGUUGCCUGUUAUUAUCUGUGUUGUAAGGAUAUUCCAAUGGUCCAUUCCAAACUGGGAGCCUGAUGAAAUGGGCACUUUGCAGACAUGCAGAAUAAAUUUAUGCAUGAAGACAUUUACAGGAGAAAGAGCCAAGCCUGAAACUACUCCUUCCCUUCAAAAACACACAGAGGAAGAGUGGAAGAAGCUAAAAAUUAUGUACAUGAGAUUAUCAGAGACAUGGUUUCAUGGUGGGCUUGACAGUGCUGGGUUAACGGUUGGACUUGAUGAUCUUAAAGGUCUUUUCCAAGCAAAACGAUUCUACAUUUCUGUAACAGAUCAGAGAGAGGUGUGGUGUAAGGUAUUCUGGUGCUUUUGCAUCUUCAUUUGUCUCUGCUACAGAAUUUUCAUUGAAAACAACCUUACUUUAGAAAAAAUUGUAAGGAAGAGAAAGACAUUACUGGAAAAUAGACGGAUUGUGAGCAAAGGUAAAGCAGGACACAAGUAGGGAAGACAGGGAGGAGAAGAGAGGAGCAUCUCUAGGGGGUGUUUGUGGUGCAGGUGUGAAUGCAGCAGAAGAACAGAUGGAUCCCACUAUUUCAGAGGAAACCCAACUGCCGGCGUGGGUGAAGGUUGAGUCCUGAGGACCAUCCAGCUUCCCAGGGCCUGGCACAAGGGCAGCAGAGAUGCUCAAGCGUCCUCCCUGCUCUGUCUGACUUACUCAUCAGCUUUUUGGACUAGAAGGGUGAGUCUAGGGCUCUGCUGAUCUGGCCUGUGAGACCUUCAGAGAUGGAGAGGUGAAGCACCAUCCUGAGAUUUCACUUCUGAUUAACUUCAACCAUGUUUCAGGCCACGUUUAACAUCUGUGUUUUGUCUUAACCACUUGUGGCUUCUCCUUGACCUCAGUCUUGUGGGGAAACUUUCUCAGAUGUUGUUUGGGAGUCAUAGAUGUUGUGUUAUACCCGUUGACUACGUAUAGUUACAGUAGGAACUGCAUCUACACGUACUAUGUCCUGUGAAAUGGAGAUGGGUGCAACACGUUGAAAUAGUUCUGAAAACAUUUCAGCUCUGAGGAUGCUGCAGCACGAACUAUAGAAAUUUUAAAAAGCUGUGGAAGCGUCUGUAGCAAACUUACUCAUAUCUGCUGUCCAUCUUACCCAAUUUAGUUCCCUUCUUCGCCUGGUUUUAUGUAUUUGCUAACUUUCAACAGAAGCUUGCUUUUCUCUUUUAUCUGUUCCCUGUCUUAAACAAAAUCCAUUUUGUCAUAGUGAAUAAACCUCAUACUUUCCUUACCGCAGUAAACACAGCGAAUUUUGUGACUGCAUAAUAUAGCUAUUUAAAAAGAGCUAAUUGCUUCUUUUGGAAAAAGUGCCUGAAUGUUCCCAUUCCAGCACAGAACAAGCAGCAUAUGUACAGUGCUAUCAAGAUCGUUUAUCUUCCUGCUCCCCUAUUCUUAAUAUUCUCCGCUUUAUUCUGAAGCCUGGCAGACCCCAUACAAAAAAAUGCACAAAUUCUUUCAAAAGUAGCCCUUUCAGAGUGGAGCUGAGUGUUAAAAUAACGAGGAAAAUGUCUUUUUACUGCACCAUUGCAUGUGGGAAGCCAUGGAAAACCUUCCUCUCCUUGCUGACCCAUCAUCUUCAUCCCUCAGAGAGGCACUGACGUGGUUAUUUCUCCAUCAAUUGCACAACAUCAGACUUAAAUGCAGGAAUAUCCUUCUGAAGAAUAAAGCUUGAAGGUAAAAACACUCCCCUAAUAAAAAAACCUGCAGCAUCCUGCUCGCGUUUGAUUGUGCCAGGGAUAGAAGAAAGUCCAUUACCCUGCGAAUAUAUAUAUCAACACAAUUAAUUUUGUCAGUUAGUUUUUUUUGUUAAUGGGAGUCAGCCCCUGCAAAAGGCAACACACCCAAAAGAUGUAUACAUCGAGGUAUAAACAAAAGCUUGCAUUGCUCCAGGUGUAUGUUUUUAAUAUACAUUACACAUCUGUAAACAGACGGUAGCAAGAAGAAAUCAUUGAAAUGGGGUGUAAACUGGAAUUAGGCAGCAAGCCACGUGCUGCUGCGGCAGCGCCGUCCCCGACCCUCACCGUGGCCUCCAGUACUCACUGCUCACACACAGGUACAGCACAUAUUUCAUAUUUGUACCAGAGAUGGGGGCAGAUCUCUAGUCCAUAUUGCUAGGGGGAAUUUUUGGUCUUUUUAAGCAUCAUUUGUUACAGUUUUGAAGCAGCACACCUAGCGAAGGAAUCAACGGCGCUACGUUAUUUCACGUUACGUCGGGGUCUGAAAACACUACCGGAAAAUGUUAUUGAUUCCUACAUCAGUUGCACUUCUUAGAAAACGCACCUAUUUAAAGCAGCAUAGCCAAACAAAGCCAGCGAGGUUCCGAGUACCAGGGACUCUUCCCCAUCCCGCGCUGGUGACGGUUCUGCCCAGCGGCCGCCGUGACUCAUUCCCGGCUCUAUUUUAAGGCGCCAGGACACCCAGCGAUGCGGAUGGUUUUCUGCACCACGGCGCAUUUGUACCUGUUGGCUCCAGCCGCUUUCCUGUUUGCUCUCACUAAUAAAACUCCCACGUCAAGAGCGAGUCGUUCUGGUACUUGGAUUUCAACAGAACGUGCUGGACAGGGCCUCUUUCUUCAGGUUUUCAUCUGUUCUGUGUCUGCUCUACCCUGUGAGCCUCCUCCCCUUCGAUUACAUCGUUUUUUAAAGCUGCUGGUGAUCCUUUACAGUGAAAACCACCGUGGCACAAGGUGUUUUCUCUUUCAGCUUCUGCCAACCUUGUUUCCCGUGCCCGUGCUCCCACGAACCUGUUUUCCCAUGAGCUAUAGAAAUAGCUUGCUCUGCAUUAUGAAACAGUGUAGAAAAAUCUGUAUUAAAUGGAUGGAAAGCUUUAAAGACGAGCUGCUAUUCAUAUAUACUUAAUAAAAAAAAAGCCCCAGACAAACCCAGACUGAAAGUAGCUCAGAUCCUUUAAUGAAACCCAAAAAGCAGCUGAUGCGACGCAUCCCCCAGCAAACCUCCCGUGUUCGAGACGCACAAGCUGGGCGCCAAACCCCCUUCUCGCUCCGCUCCGGCACGUGGCGUAUCCAGAAUAAAUAGGCAUUAAUUUCAACCUUCUUUGUGAUGAGUUACAAUGGCAAAUCAACAGGGGCUCAGCCAAGAACUGCGGUAUUUAUAUUUAUGUUUUGUUUGUGCUUGGUUUAUACACAUCAAAGACAAAAAGGGGGUUGUGUACAAACAACGACGAGCAAGUCCAAGGGAGGUUUUGAGAAGAUUCAGAACCGCAUCGCCCUGAGCCGGGAGCAUGGGCAGCGAAUUCCACGGGCUGAUGCUGUUUUGGGGGUACCAGAGAUGCAGCUGCACCAAAGAGAUGAUGCUCGUCAUUACCGUGCUCUGGCAAGAAGCGUCCCCACGCUGGGACGGGACACAGGGCCUCUAGGUCACCUCCCCAAAAGCUUCUGGACUGAAUCAUUGAAUGUCAGGGAACACCAUUUUCUAAAGGAAAUUCAUCACCAUUUUUUCUCCUGAUCCAACCUGAAAAA